CGGCCGUUCCCAACUUGCAGCACAGCGCGGCGGCCGAGCCGUCCAGUGGCCGCCUCUGGCAGCCCCGGGCCGGUAGCCCCUGUCCCCAGCAGCGGGGGCAGGAUGGCGCUGAGGCGGACCCAAAAGGAAUGAACCGACUUGCAGAGGGAUCUCCUGCUCAGUGCUCUGCAGGACUUGUGGGAGAUGAUGACGCCUUGAGUUCAUAGCCCGCCUGGUCAAGAUGCUGCCAGAAAUCACCAUCUCCCUCCACUGGGGCACAAGAAAGCCAUCUUAUCCUGAGGCACAUUGGCUUCUGGAAGGUGCCUCUGACCAACUACAACUUGGGAUGUUGGUAUAAAAACGGUCAUGAAGCUAAUCAUGGAGGUCCUGCUGCUGUUGCACGAGGGGGCUGAGCUCUGGGGGUUGGUGAGGGGAGGGGGGUUGCUGGCUCCUGGCCUCUGCGAAGGGGAGGGGCAGUUCUUUUCUCCCACUUCUGCUCUUCCCCAGGGGAGACUGAAGGAGCAGCGCUAGCCAGCCCUCUGCCACCCUCUAUAGCCGACUGGCCAUAGGCCAAGCUGCCCAACACUUGGGUUUCCCAAAUCUGUACUCUGCUCUCCCACUUCACCUCCACUUUCUGAGCGUCUUAGGCUCUCGGACACACUCAUCCUUUACUGUAAGGCUGCAGUAGCUACAGCUGAAGGAAAAGUAGGCCGGGAAGGGAAAGACUGCGUAAAAGAAGGGUGAUGUGCCCUUCAAGGACACUGAAGAAUUAAAAACACGGACUCAAACAGAACUUGUACACCAGUGUUCAUUGCACCAUUAUUUACAAUCCCCCAGAGGUGCCCAAGUACCCAUCAACAGAUAAAUGAAUAAGCACAGUGUGGUAUAUAUAUAUAUACAAUAGCAUAUUAUUUAGCCUUAAAAAGGGAUGAAGUUCUGACACAUGCUCCAACGUGGGUGCACCUUGAAAACAUGCCGUGUGAAAUAAGCCAGAAAGAAAAGGGCAGAUAUUGGAUGAUUCCAUUUACAUGAACUAACUAGACAAGGCAAAUUCAUAGAGACAGAAAGCAGAGUAGAGGUUUCUAGAAGCUGAGGGGAGGUAGAAAUGGGGAAUUCUUCCGUGGUACAGAAUUUGUUUGGAGUGAUGAAAAAGUUUUAGAAAUGGAUAAUGGUGGUUUGCACAACAUCGCGAAUGCACUUAAUGCCACUGACUUGUACACUUAAAAAUGGCUAAAAUGACAUAUUUGAUGCUGUAUGUUUUAAAACUUUUUUUAUCAUGUUAAAAUACAAGAAAGAAAAAUUUCACAGAGCUGGAAUAAAAGAGGAAGUGGUGUCAUG